UCAGUCACUUUCUGCAAGUUCUGUCCAGGCUCUGUGGUGUAGGCAGCACAGUGCUCUGUGUGGGUGGAACAGUGCCUUCCUAGUGUUGAAGAUGAAAAUGAGCUUUGUUGGCCAGCACUGUGGAGUCCUCCAGCCUCUCUGGGUUCUGAGGGACAAUGACAGAGGAGAUGGAUCAGGUAUAU
rnacentral:snoRNA from 1 species